AGCCCAUGGUGAGGGCAUUACUGUAAAAAAACUCUUGUAACGAUCUCAUUAUUCAAAUAGAAAUUCUCCAUCCUUUUGCAUGAAAUUAGUGAUUAAGUGUUUUAUAUGGGU